AGAAGCCUUGGCUCUUUUUGUGAACAUUGUUAGGAUCUACUCAGUGGAGAGAGCUGUAGUUUUAUUCCUUCUGAUAUCUGAGACCAACAAAGCUUUCUCUUUGCCCUCACCCAAUCCGACUCACUGGCUCAUCUUUGGCUUUUGUGUGGUGUCUUCACUGAGUAAAGCCACGACAGAGGAAUGGAACCACAGUCUCCUCCUGAGUCCACAUCGUCCCCAGUGCAAACACGUGUUGCAAAGGAUUUCAGUUUUACUAUUGCAGUCAGUAGAGAAACCAACUGGGGAUAAGUUUGAAGGACGUGCUGCUGAUCUUAGAUGCCUUCUUGAAGUCAACCACAUAAGCAGCUGUGGUCUCAGAUGCUCAAACGUGGCCAGUGUGAAUCAAUGUCUUCCUGCUGCCUGCUGAUGAAGAUGGAAAACUCCCAGCUACCCAGGCAGCACCAUGUCUGCCUAUAUGCUGCAAUGCUUCCCAUCAUGAAAACAGUGGACUAAACCGUGAACUGUAAACCAGCCCCAAUUAAAUGUUUUCUUUACGAGAGUUGCUGUGGCCAUGGUGUCUCGUCUCAGAAAUAGAAACCCUAACUAGGACAACUGACAAUAAGUAAUGUUUCUUAAGUCCCUAUUUAAGUGCUAAAGUAGACUACUGCUGCUUUUAUAGAAGCAACAGUAAUGCUUUCACUUUAAAGGUGAGAAAAACUGCACAUUAAGAACUGUUUAAAACCUGCUCCAGUUCACUUAAGAAGUAAAUCAAGGGCAGAAUUUGAACCUCUAGAUCUUUGUGGUGAAGACAGUCCAGUCAUGACUGCUACUCUUGAUAUGACCUUUCUGUCCAUGGGAUUUGAUAAUAAUUUUUGAAUGCACUUAAUAUUUUUUAACACUAAAUAGCUUUUAUAAACACAUUAAGUGGUCAUGGUGAUCCCACUCAAUAAUUUUACCAGAUGCCAGAAUAUUUUCCUCAGCAUUUCACAGUUAGCAUUGCAUAUUGCCAUCUUUUAUUUGACGUGGUCCUUACAAUAUUUAUAAAGAACGUAUAGCAUUUUUUUAUGUGAAAAUGAUGAGUGACUUGAUGUGAGUCUUUCAGUUGUGUGUGGAAAUGUGGACAGAGAAUUCUUGUGGAAUGUCUAUGUCUUUAGGCCAUUCCUACACUGAAACUUGGAGCCCUUACUAUGUUAUUUGCAGAAAGAGUCUUCAGAGAAGUAACUAAAGAGAACCUGGAAUUGCUAUUGUCAUUGUGAGCAGAGAAGAGUCACAACAUUCUCUCAACAUGCAUACAAAGGAGAAAACCUAUGAGAAUACACUGAGAAGAUUACCACCUGCGAGCCAACAAGAGAAAUCUCUCCUUGAGUCAACUUGGCUGAAUCCUGACCUUAGACUUUAAAUCUCCAGAACAUUGAAAUAUAAAUUUCUAUUGCUUAACAUAUCUAAAAAGCAAUAAUUUUUCAUAGCAGGUUCAUAUCUCUAUCUAUGACUAAUUAUCUAUUUUAUACCUUAUAAUAUAUUUAGCAUUAAUGCUCCAUGGACAGUGAUUAGAUCACACAUUUGUGUAGUUCAUCCUUCAUAUUUCAUCACUUCACAGGUUUAAGUGAAAGAAGCCAAUCAUGUAAACUUGUCUUGUAGAUUUGAACCAAGAUCCAAAGAGGUUCAAAGACUGGGCCAGAAGAGAAGAGCAGAUGUGGAUCCCAAGGCCCACCUCCAGCCACAAGGGUCUGGUGCUUCCAACACUUCACUGGGCAAUGUGGGAAAUGAAUGUUUCACCAUUCUUGUUGUUAAUCACCAUUUCUUAUUUUCAUAACAUUGUAUGAUGGAACAUAACUAUGGAAACUGAAUAAUUAAAACUAUCUCCUAAUAGAGCAGGAAAAAAUAAUACAACAUCAUAUACAAAAAAUGAUAUAGAAAUUCAACUUUCUCAAGAUAUGACAAGGCAAAUGUAUUGAGCAAAUGUUAUUUUUUAACUUCUCAUACAAAAUGCUGUAUUAUUUCCAUGUGUAAAAGGGAAAAUGUAAACCUAUUUAUGCACUUUUAUUUUUAAUGAAAAGCUAUCUCAGGUGGCUCAAGGACAUGCCUGUGUCCCUCCAUCUGUCAAAUCAGGCUGUGCAGGCGAUUCACUGCUCUGUGGUAGGGAUACAAUGUGCAAAUGAUGGGAGCUGGAACCAUCAAUAAACUUGUCCCCGUGAAAAUGAUGACAGAAUCUCUUGCUAUUAUUUAGAGCUAUUUAAACAGCUAACUCAAAAGGAUGCCAGCUGGUGACCUUGUUGCUAGACUCAGAAAGAAGAAAAUAAUUAAAUUAGCAUGACUUUUCAAAUUCAUUCUCACUUGGUAGAGGUCUGGAAUUGAUCAUCAUGGCAGCAUGUGAAAACUUGCUUCAUAGUGUUUGGCGACAGUACUAUUCAAUAGAUGAACAGCAUGCAAAGGCUGAUGAUAAUGUCAAUUGUCAUUUUUAUUAAGUUUACUCAGUCAAAACUCAGACCUACAAGUUCGAUCACAGAGUCUCAGUUUCCUUCUAUUUCAAAGAUGAAGGAUAAUUAAACUCCACCAAAAUCUCCACUGAAGAGAGGCGUCUUAAUGCAGUCAAGGUGUGCAUCGGUCCUCACCUUAACCUCAUUCCAGCUGUUCUUCUCACCUGUAUUGUGUUUAAAAACAAAAUGUGACUGGCUGUAGAACAGUGUGAAAAGAAAGUAUUAGGAUAACACACACACUAUUGUCUGAUCUUUUGUAGUUUAUUACAUUUAUUACAUUCUUCCUUACCUUUUUUCCUCAUAAAAAUAAACCAAUGAAUUAAGAAA